CCUACGGGCGGCAGCAGUGAGGAAUAUUGGUCAAUGGACGAGAGUCUGAACCAGCCAAGUAGCGUGAAGGAUGACUGCACUAUGUGUUGUAAACUUCUUUUAUAUGGGAAUAAAAUGUUCCACGUGUGUGAUUUUGUAUGUACCAUAUGAAUAAGCAUCGGCUAACUCCGUGCCAGCAGCCGCGGUAAUACGGAGGAUCCGAGCGUUAUCCGGAUUUAUUGGGUUUAAAGGGAGCGUAGGUGGAUUGUUAAGUCAGUGGGGAAAGUUUGCGGCUCAACCGUAAAAUUGCAGUUGAAACUGGCAGUCUAGAGUACAGUAGAGGUGGGCGGAAUUCGUGGUGUAGCGGUGAAAUGCUUAGAUAUCACGAAGAACUCCGAUUGCGAAGGCAGCUCACUGGACUGCAACUGACACUGAGGCUCGAAAGUGUGGGUAUCAAACAGGAUUAGAUACCCCUGUAGUC
rnacentral:rRNA from 1 species